AGGCCUAACAAGUUGGCUCCCGCCUCCGCUGGUCAUCGCAUUGGAAGGCUACCCCUGGCUCUCCCACCGCCCCAGUAAGAUUGGUCACUGUGAGGAAGCCAAAUCGGAUCCGAGAGUCUUUUUCUAAAGGCCAGUACUGGCCACACUUUCUCCUGCCGCCUUCCUCAAAGCUGAAGACACACAGAGCAAGGCGCUUCUGUUUUACUCCCCAAUGGUAACUCCAAACCAUAGAUGGUUAGCUCCCUGCUCAUCUUUCCACAUCCCUGCUAUUCAGUAUAGUCCGUGGACCAAUCACACCAGCAUCGUAUGGGAGAGUGUAAGAAACAUGAAUCUGCAUGUCAACGAGAUCCCCAGGUGAGUCGUAGGUAGGUUUGGGAAGCACUGCUACAUACCCUC
rnacentral:lncRNA from 10 species